rnacentral:lncRNA from 1 species
UUGAAGUCAUUUUCUCAAGAUCAACACCUCCACCUGUACCAAUCCAAAGAGAUCACCCUAGAAUUUUCUUGUUAGCACAAAACUACUAGGAAAGGUAGAGAAGGUUGGACAGUAACUUUAGAGCAACCCAACAGAAGACUAAAGAUCUAACCUAGAAAAAAUUGAUCUAAAUCUAGACAUGAGAAAACAAGUAUGAUUUUAAGAUCUAAGAGGCUAGGGGGAUUG